ACGGGAGGCAGCAGUGGGGAAUAUUGGGCAAUGGGCGCAAGCCUGACCCAGCAACGCCGCGUGAAGGAAGAAGGCUUUCGGGUUGUAAACUUCUUUUGUGAGGGACGAGCAGAAGACGGUACCUCAUGAAUAAGCCACGGCUAACUACGUGCCAGCAGCCGCGGUAAUACGUAGGUGGCAAGCGCUGUCCGGAUUUACUGGGUGUAAAGGGCGUGUAGCCGGGUCGGCAAGUCAGAUGUGAAAUCCACGGGCUUAACUCGUGAACUGCAUUUGAAACUGUUGAUCUUGAGUGUCGGAGAGGUAAUCGGAAUUCCUAGUGUAGCGGUGAAAUGCGUAGAUAUUAGGAGGAACACCAGUGGCGAAGGCGGAUUGCUGGACGACAACUGACGGUGAGGCGCGAAAGCGUGGGGAGCAAACAGGAUUAGAUACCCUGGUA
rnacentral:rRNA from 1 species